GAACUGCGAAACGUGAUGUGAAACGCAGGACUCGUGAAUCAUCGAAUCUUUGAACGCACAUUGCGCCCUUUGGUAUUCCAAAGGGCAUGCCUGUUCGAGCGUCAUUUGUACCCUCAAGUCCCCUGUGGACUUGGUGUUGGGGAUCGGCGAGGCUGGUUUUCCAGCACAGCCGUCCCUUAAAUUAAUUGGCGGUCUCGCCGUGGCCCUCCUCUGCGCAGUAGUAAAACACUCGCAACAGGAGCCCGGCGCGGUCCACUGCCGUAAAACCCCCCAACUUUUUAUAGUUGACCUCGAAUCAGGUAGGACUACCCGCUGAACUUAA
rnacentral:misc_RNA from 1 species